UGUAUGACCUGCAAAGAGCGUUUGCUGUGGAUAGCUUGAGCUCCUCUCACCCCCUCUUCCCGAAAGGAAGAAGGGGUCAACACACCCUCAGAAAUUAGCGAAAUGUUCAACACAAUUUCCUACAGCAAGGGAGCUGCAGUGCUUAAAAUGCUCUCUGAAUUCCUGACAGAGCCUGUGUUUGCCAAAGGACUCAGUAACUAUCUGAAGCAGUUUGCUUUUGGAAGCUCAGUGCAUUUAGAUCUCUGGCUACAUCUUCAAAAG